CAACACCUUAACAGAAACAAAUUCCUUUGUCCGUUCAUUCUAUCCACAGACUAUUUUCAGAGAAGAGAAUGUCCCAGCUAGAAAUGCAAGUGGACGAGUGCCAACCCGAUGAGGCCAAUGAUUUGCGAGUGGAGACCUCUGAGGAACUUGGACCCUCGCUGAGUCCCCUUAGCCUCUUCACUUGCUUCUGCAUGGCCCGUCCUGUCAGUUAUUUCAGCAAUCCCUCAUCCCCUUGACCUCACCGCCUGCCCCUGGGGACAAUCACAAGAGGACUCCAUUUGACUCAGUCCAGCUGCCGCCUUCUCUGUCCUGCCUGAAGCAGCUGAGCGCUGUUGAGACCACACGGCCUCAUGGAUCUAGACGGGCAUGAGCUCCCGGCCUCUGCUUCAUCCUUGGUGCUGCCCGUAAGUCCUGUGGUCUCUGGCCAGCUUUAUGUCCUACUCCCCCAAUGGCUAUAACAGACCUUCACCAGUCUCCUGAAGAUUUCUUUCCUACUGACUCGCCCCUCCCCAGCCCUAGCUCACAAUGAACUUACCCUCUGCUUCAAGGUAGAAGUAAAUUUCCUUAUGUGGGGGGAACGUUCAAAAUUUCUAGCCUCCCUCUGCAGAGCCCCUCUCCCCGGCAGCCUCUCCUUCUACAGCUGUGGGAGGAGGCCUUACUUUUGAGUAAAGCUAAUGCCUCCUCACAGCACUGAGUCCCCUCUCGUCCCCAUUUCUCAGGGAGCUUAUUCCAUUUCUAGUCCUCUCGUAUUUUAAAUAUGAAGCCAGAAUACAGCCAUGGAACUGCUUCUCCCUCAGAGCCUCCAGUAGAAACUCACCCUGCCA
rnacentral:lncRNA from 1 species